CGGGGUGAGUGGCAGACGGGUGAGUAACGCGUGGGAACGUGCCCUUCAGUUUGGAAUAACCCAGGGAAACUUGGGCUAAUACCGGAUACGCCCGCAAGGGGAAAGAUUUAUCGCUGAAGGAUCGGCCCGCGUCUGAUUAGCUGGUUGGUGGGGUAAUGGCCCACCAAGGCGACGAUCAGUAGCUGGUCUGAGAGGAUGAUCAGCCACAUUGGGACUGAGACACGGCCCAAACUCCUACGGGAGGCAGCAGUGGGGAAUAUUGGACAAUGGGCGCAAGCCUGAUCCAGCCAUGCCGCGUGAGUGAUGAAGGCCUUAGGGUUGUAAAGCUCUUUCAGCGGGGACGAUAAUGACGGUACCCGCAGAAGAAGCCCCGGCUAACUUCGUGCCAGCAGCCGCGGUAAUACGAAGGGGGCUAGCGUUGUUCGGAAUCACUGGGCGUAAAGGGCGCGUAGGCGGCUUUGUAAGUCGGGGGUGAAAGCCUGUGGCUCAACCACAGAAUUGCCUUCGAUACUGCAUGGCUUGAGACCGGAAGAGGUUAGUGGAACUGCGAGUGUAGAGGUGAAAUUCGUAGAUAUUCGCAAGAACACCAGUGGCGAAGGCGGCUGACUGGUCCGGUUCUGACGCUGAGGCGCGAAAGCGUGGGGAGCAAACAGGAUUAGAUACCCUGGUAGUCCACGCCGUAAACGAUGAAUGCCAGCCGUUGGCGAGCUUGCUCGUCAGUGGCGCAGCUAACGC
rnacentral:rRNA from 1 species